GACGAACGCUGGCGGCGUGCUUAACACAUGCAAGUCGAACGGAAAGGCCCUGCUUUUGUGGGGUGCUCGAGUGGCGAACGGGUGAGUAACACGUGAGUAACCUGCCCUUGACUUUGGGAUAACUUCAGGAAACUGGGGCUAAUACCGGAUAGGAGCUCCUGCUGCAUGGUGGGGGUUGGAAAGUUUCGGCGGUUGGGGAUGGACUCGCGGCUUAUCAGCUUGUUGGUGGGGUAGUGGCUUACCAAGGCUUUGACGGGUAGCCGGCCUGAGAGGGUGACCGGCAACAUUGGGACUGAGAUACGGCCCAGACUCCUACGGGAGGAAGCAGUGGGGAAUAUUGCAAAAUGGGCGGAAGCCUGAUGCAGCAACGCCGCGUGCGGGAUGACGGCCUUCGGGUUGUAAACCGCUUUCGCCUGUGACGAAGCGUGAGUGACGGUAAUGGGUAAAGAAGCACCGGCUAACUACGUG
rnacentral:rRNA from 1 species